rnacentral:rRNA from 1 species
UUGAUCCUGGCUCAGAAUCAACGCUGGCGGCGUGCCUAACACAUGCAAGUCGAACGCGAAAGGGGCCUUCGGGCCCCCGGUAGAGUGGCGCACGGGUGAUUAACACGUGGGUAAUUUGCCUUCGGGUGGGGAAUAACACCUCGAAAGAGUUGCUAAUACCGCAUAACGCAGCGGCACCGCAUGGUGACAGUUGUUAAAGUGGGGGAUCGCAAGACCUCGCGCCUGAAGAGAAGCCCGCGCCCGAUUAGCUAGUUGGUGGGGUAAUGGCCCACCAAGGCGACGAUCGGUAGCCGGCCUGAUAGGGCGGACGGCCACACUGGCACUGAGAUACGGGCCAGACUCCUACGGGUGGCAGCAGUGGGGAAUUUUGGGCAAUGGGCGAAAGCCUGACCCAGCAACUCCGCGUGAAGGACGAAAUCCCUCUGGGAUGUAAACUUCGAAAGUUGGGGUAGAAAUCCCGCCGGGUAACAUCCGGCGGGGAUGACGGUACCCAACGUAAUCCCCGGCUAACUACGUGCCAGCAGCCGCGGUAAUAAGGU